rnacentral:rRNA from 1 species
UACGAAGGGGGCUAGCGUUGUUCGGAUUUACUGGGCGUAAAGCGCACGUAGGCGGUUUGUUAAGUGAGAGGUGAAAUCCCAGAGCUCAACUCUGGAACUGCCUUCCAUACUGGCAAGCUAGAGUCCGGAAGAGGUAAGUGGAACUCCUAGUGUAGAGGUGGAAUUCGUAGAUAUUAGGAAGAACACCAGUGGCGAAGGCGGCUUACUGGUCCGGAACUGACGCUGAGGUGCGAAAGCGUGGGGAGCAAACAGG